UUUUCACUUUGACUACAUUUUUUCCAAAUACACUUCAUAAGCAUUUAAAUUCAUGAAGCGUUUGCGACGAUUCUUCUCUAUUUUCUUCAAAAAAAACUUCCAAUCAUUCAUGAUGUGACUAAUUAAGUAUUCAAGUUGAAAUACCUUCGGGGUUUAGUUUGCUGAAGAAUUUGUUGGUCCCAUUUGGGUUUCGACUCUGAUUAUGUAUAUCUUCAUUGUGAUAUGGUGGUGGUUUAUAAUAAAAAAACACACAUUCUGUUUAAUAAGUUUCUGGUACAUGGGUCAGUGACUGCAAUUCAGAAUCAAGGCAACAACAAUUGUCAUGUCACUAAUGGUGUUUCAUCUACAGGUGAUAUAUUACGAUUUAGUUUCUUCUCUUUCAUUAUAUAUCUUCGAUAUAACUAUGUCUCUUUUAAUAGAGUGGUUAUGUCCAAAUUUUUUUGUUAUUGUCUGUUGAAUUCAUGUUUCUGGCCGGUGUUUGUUAUCCUAUAUGUAGUACGGAAAUAUCAUCUGGAUUUUUAUCACA
rnacentral:lncRNA from 1 species